rnacentral:rRNA from 1 species
UACCAGCACCCCGAGUGGUCGGGACGAUUAUUGGGCCUAAAGCAUCCGUAGCCGGUUCUUUAAGUCCUCCGUUAAAUCCAUCUGCUUAACAGAUGGGCUGCGGAGGAUACUAUAGAGCUAGGAGGCGGGAGAGGCAAGCGGUACUCAGUGGGUAGGGGUAAAAUCCGUUGAUCCAUUGAAGACCACCAGUGGCGAAGGCGGCUUGCCAGAACGCGCUCGACGGUGAGGGAUGAAAGCUGGGGGAGCAAACCGGAUUAGGAUACCCGGGUAGUCCCAGCUGUAAACGAUGCAGACUCGGUGAUGAAUAGGCUUAGUGCCUAUUCAGUGCCGCAGGGAAGCCGUUAAGCUGCCGCUGGGGAUACGGUGCAAGACUGAAACUUAAGGAAUUGGCGGGGAGCACCACAAGGGGUGAAGCCUGCGGUUC